GGCGGAGCUUGACAAAGUUUCAACAUCCCGAAGCUCCGCCCUUCCUGUCAGUUUGGUUUCGAUAACUCCUCCCUCUAGACGUCAUCAGCUCCAGGGCGCAUUGACUGCCUCGAGAGAGACAAUCAACACUACAUAAAUUCAACUCAGGUGCUUGAAAUCCGAUUCUCCUCUCCUACUCCUCUUGUUCUCCGCAGGAGUUGACAUUUUGGGAGUCAUUCCUCAGAUGGUGUUUUCCCCUCUCCUCGUCAUGCCACAGAGCUGGUAUUCUGGGCUUCAGUGUGCCCUAUUGGCCUAGCCACAGCCGGCAGCCUUUCAUUACCCUAGCCGAAGGAGGUGGCCUGGACAUCCCCAUCGAGCACACCAUCACCACACCCCAAAGCGUGCCCUGCUCCGAGCUGUUCCCUGGAUACAUCAACUCGAGAGAUGAGGAAAAAUAGCCGCUCUGUAUGAUCAUCAUUUAACUGGCAGUCAUCAAGGACGAUUGUCAUUCAUGAAAUUUCAGUUGUUAUUUCAACAUGACAUGUCAUGGAUGGUCCUGUGAUGGACUGUUCAUUCAUCCAGGGUGUUUUCCCGCCUAUAGCACGAGACUUUGGGAAUUGGGAACAUUCCAGCAACCCUACAGAACAAACGGUUUGGAAACUGCGUGGAACUACACCGCCCCCUGCUGAUGAAAUAGAACUUACACAGCAGUUCCUUCUUACCACAUACUACAAAAGUAUGUACUUCAUUAAAAAGGACAUAUAUAAUAUACAUCAGUAAUUUAAUUAGUGAGACUAUACCAGCUAUUAUAGUGUAAUAAUAGGAAGAGUUAAAAUGUGUAUAAUUAAAGAUGGAAAGUGUGCCUGCAGCUACAAGUUGACAAUUUAACCCUUAGUUUGGAAGUAUAAUGCAUUUAAGAGUCAACGUAACAGGUAGAUUUUAAAUGUAUUAUUAUUAUUA